GAGGGGGGCUAGCGUUGUCCGGAAUCAUUGGGUGUAAAGGGCUCGUAGGCGGGCCAGACAGUUGAGGUUUAAAUCCCACGGCUUAACCGUGGAUCUGGCCUCAAUACUACUGGUCUUGAGUGUGGCAGAGGAUGAUGGAAUUCCUGGUGUAGCGGUGGAAUGCGUAGAUAUCAGGAGGAACACCGAUGGCGAAGGCAGUCAUCUGGGCCAACACUGACGCUAAGGAGCGAAAGCGUGGGGGGAGCAAACAGGAUUAGAUACCCUGGUAGUCCACGCCGUAAACGAUGAGUACUUGAUGGUGGGGGAUUCGACCCCUUCACUGUCGGAGCUAACGCGUUAAGUACUCCACCUGGGACUACGACCGCAAGGUUG
rnacentral:rRNA from 1 species